AUCGAUGAAGAACGCAGCGAAAUGCGAUAAGUAAUGUGAAUUGCAGAAUUCAGUGAAUCAUCGAAUCUUUGAACGCACAUUGCGCCCCUUGGUAUUCCGAGGGGCAUGCCUGUUCGAGCGUCAUUAUAACCAAUCCAGCCUGCUGGGUCUUGGGCUUCGCCGGUCGGCGGGCCUCAAAGUCAGUGGCGGCACGGCCGGGCUCUAAGCGUAGUAAUACUCCUCGCUAUAGGGUCCCGGGCGCGGCUUGCCAGCAACCCCCCACUUCUUAAGGUUGACCUCGGAUCAGGUAGGGAUACCCGCUGAACUUAAGCAUAUCAAUAAGCGGAGGAAAAGAAACCAACAGGGAUUACCUCAGUAACGGCGAGUGAAGCGGUAACAGCUCAAAUUUGAAAUCUGGCUCUUUUAGGGUCCGAGUUGUAAUUUGUAGAAGAUGCUUUGGGUGUGGCUCCGGUCUAAGUUCCUUGGAACAGGACGUCAUAGAGGGUGAGAAUCCCGUAUGUGAUCGGUGGCCUUCGCCCGUGUAAAGCUCUUUCGACGAGUCGAGUUGUUUGGGAAUGCAGCUCAAAAUGGGUGGUAAAUUUCAUCUAAAGCUAAAUAUUGGCCAGAGACCGAUAGCGCACAAGUAGAGUGAUCGAAAGAUGAAAAGCACUUUGGAAAGAGAGUUAAACAGUACGUGAAAUUGUUGAAAGGGAAGCGCUUGCAACUAGACUCGCACGCCGUCGAUCAUCCGGGGUUCUCCCCGGUGCACUCGGCGGUGUUCGGGCCAGCAUCAGUUUGGGUGGUGGGAUAAAGGCCUUGGGAAUGUAGCUCCUCUCGGGGAGUGUUAUAGCCCUCGGUGCAAUGCCGCCUACCCGGACUGAGGACCGCGCUUCGGCUAGGAUGCUGGCGUAAUAGUUGUAAGCGACCCGUCUUGAAACACGGA
rnacentral:rRNA from 1 species